CUUUCAUUCGACAAUUUUUCGUGCUUGUCACUUCUAUCAUUGGCAUUAAAACGCAAUACUUUUGUGGUUGCAUACUCGAUUACUCGUUAUUUCAUUUUGUCCGAGUGAAAUGCGCUGGGUUCGCCCUUAUCAAAAUGCGCAAUUGUUUGCAGCUGAAUAAUUAUGUAUUAAACAGAUGUUUUAAGACCGGAUCGAGUUUACAAUGAUGCUCUAAUCCCUGGUAGAAUAUUCCAACUAGGCGCGCAAAUAGAUGAUCUAAUUUUAAAAAAAUGCGUCGUUCUACUUUGUAUAGGUGCGAUUCUCAUAAAUUAAUUGAAAAAAGCAUUUGUUUUUGUCAUAAUUUUCUCUUCUAAUUUGGUAAACUCCUUCUGGGCAACUUCGUCGGAUUUGUCGAACACUUGUUCAACGCUCACAACUUCUGGAAUAUAAAAUUGGAGCAUAUUUUGUACGCCAUUC